GCUCCGGUAGUAUAGUCAGGUUAUGUAUUUCGGUCUUUCGAGCCGAAGACCCGGGUUCGAAUCCCGGCCGGAGCA
rnacentral:tRNA from 1 species